GUUGAUCCAUCCUGCAGCUACAUGGGUUGGAGGAGGCUUCAUUGUUGGCACAGCUGAGAUGGUGUACACUCCGUCAAUGGGACUAACCUGGGCAGCCACGAUGUUAACCGCAUACAGCUCAUCUUUUAUUCUAUGUGGCCUGGUGUUCGCUAAACCACUAAGAGAAAUGAAGUGUGUCACAAUGAUGGACCCUUUCCAAAUCAAGUAUGGAAAAGUUCUGACAGCUGGACUGAGCCUGGCCUGUAUUCUUAUUGAUAUACUAUGGGUAGCAUUAACACUGAUUUGUUUAGGUAAGUGACAAUAUACAGGAGCACUUUAACCAAUCAUCAUAUGUGUGUGUGUUUAGAUCAGUUUAAAAAUAAAUGUAUUUGAAGGAAUACGAGUCAGUGAUAAUGCUGUAUUAGUAUAAUUCCACUGAUACAAGGUGUUUAACAGGAGGCACCAUGAGUGUGGUCCUGGAUUUGCCCUACACUCUGUGUAUCUGGAGCUCUGCUGCAGUUGUCAUCAUCUACACUCUGCUGGGAGGUCUCUACUCUGUGGCCUACACUGAUGUUAUUCAGCUUGUUCUUAUAUUCAUCAGCUUGUGGCUGUGUGUUCCCUUUGUCUUGACAAACCCUAACUGCUUGGACAUCAGCAAGACACUUAUGAAGAACACCUUACACGCUCCCUGGAUUGGUGCAACAGGACGGGAGAAGACCGGGAUCAUGAUGG